rnacentral:rRNA from 1 species
GCAAGUCGAACGAUCCCGCAAGGGAUAGUGGCAGAAGGGUUAGGAACACGUGGGUAAUCUACCCUCGGGUUAAGGAUAACUUCGCGAAAGCGGGGCUAAUACUGAAUAAUAUUUUCGGGACGCAUGUUCUGAAAAUCAAAGGUGGCUCGUAAGGGCUGCCGCCUGUGGAUGAGCCCGCGACCUAUCAGCUUGUUGGUGAGGUAAAGGCUCACCAAGGCUUUUGACGGGUAGCUGGUCUAAGAGGAUGGUC